GACGAACGCUGGCGGCGUGCCUAACACAUGCAAGUCGAGCGGAGAUUGCAGCAAUGUAAUCUUAGCGGCAGACGGGUGAGUAACGCGUGGGCAACCUACCUUUAUCUGGGGGAUAACACAGGGAAACUUGUGCUAAUACCGCAUAACAUCAUGAAGAGACAUCUUUUUAUGAUCAAAGGAGUAAUCCGGAUAGAGAUGGGCCCGCGUCUGAUUAGCUAGUUGGUGGUGUAACGGACCACCAAGGCGACGAUCGGUAGCCGAACUGAGAGGUUGAUCGGCCACAUUGGGACUGAGACACGGCCCAGACUCCUACGGGAGGCAGCAGUGGGGAAUAUUGCGCAAUGGGGGAAACCCUGACGCAGCAACGCCGCGUGAAGGAUGAAGGUUUUCGGAUCGUAAACUUCUUUGAUGAGGGACGAAUAAAUGACGGUACCUCAAAAACAAGCCACGGCUAACUACGUGCCAGCAGCCGCCGUAA
rnacentral:rRNA from 1 species